UUCUUUCGUUCUCUCCCGCUCACGGUCUCUGCGUCUCCGAGGGGGUAGGUUCUUCGACAAUCCCAGCCGGACGCUCACCGUUAGUCGCAGCAACCGCAUACAGCUUCUCCUCGCCGUCGCCGUCGCCGUCGUUCGUAGCAUCCACUCAGCAUUUAGUUAUUGUAUGUAGAGACAACUUCUCCUCUGCUUCAGCCGCGUUGAUUCUCCAUAGGAGGAUAGAAGUUUUGCCACUUUGUUGUUGAUAACUAUUUUAGAACAUCCACAAGGCUGUCACGAUCAGUUGGUGGUUAUUGAUCAUGGAUGUAGGAAUUGAUAACUUUCGGAAUGAGAAAGUUCAAAGGUUUGAGGAAUUUGUUGACCGUCGCUUGAAACCUGAUUUGGUGCAUGCAAUCGCUGAAAGGGACAAAGUGUUUGAGCAGCAGAAGGUGUUUUCAGACCUUCGUCGAAACAUUGAGAAUUUGGAGAAAAAUAGUAUAACUAAUCUCACAACGUUGGUCAAUCUUGGCUCUGAAGUCUAUGUACAAGGCAAUGUGGCAGAUACACAAAGAAUAUUUGUAGAUGUUGGGCUCGGGUUUCACGUGGAGUUCACGUGGUCUGAAGCUUUAAAGUUCAUUUCUCUCAAAGAAGAAAGGUUAGCCAGACAGAUAGAAGAAUACACUCAUUUAAUUGCAUCAAUUAAAGCGCAGAUCAAGUUGGUUUGUGAAGGGAUUCGUGAAUUAUUACAACUUCCAGCAGAGAAGACUGUGGAAGGACAUGUAUUUUAAGUUCCGUUCCUCAUAGUUCCUCCUUUUCUGGGAAUGAAGAUGGUCCUGAAGAAUCACUGCUCUGUAUAUUUCCUGGGAGAAGUUAUAGCUCUUGAAGAGAACGAGAGACCGACAAGAGACCAAUAACCAAAUUGGCUGAUGAAGGCAAGCAAGAAUAGGCCUGAAAGUUCUUCUGUUGCGCAUUGUUUGGACAAGGAAAGAACCCCAAAGGCAAAGCUAAAAAGCUGAAAAAAGAAGGAAAAAUAAAAGCUUUACAAAUCCCUGUAAUUUUAUUGGAAGCCAUUGCAGAAACUGCUCAGAAACCUUCCUGUUUCCCCUUUCUUCGCCAUGGUUUGUCUGGGAAUAUUGUUUGGCUGCAACAGCUCUCGCUCCUCAACUGACUAUCUUCUGUCAGCUUUACUCCUCAUAGCCAUUCUUUCCUCUCUCCGUCUCCUCUGCUACUUUCUCACCCGCUUCUUGAAGCGAUACCGUCAACGUCGCUACGACCCGAGUCCCGACCCCGCCAUCCAACUCCAGCCGCAGAUAUCAACUCCUCUGCCAGAUAACAAGCUUCUUGCCCCUGCUGCACCUGCACCUGCACCUGCACAUGCUCUUCCUCCUCUUCCUGCUUUCUCGAGAUAAUAGAGCAUGUUUUGUGUCGUUUUCGACGUUAAAAAAUGUCGUUCUUGAUGCCCCUUUUGUGCAUGAUUGUUCAGCUAGUGUUAUGCAUCGACG